rnacentral:lncRNA from 1 species
GGAUAGAGUCAGUCAAAGCAUCUCCCCUUUGAAAUGGUUUCCUAACUGGAGGAAGAAAUGGUGGAGGGCUAUGUGGAUGAGUCACAGCCUUGUUUCAGCAUUUUCCCAUGAAUUGCCAGCUCACACAGUAAGAAAAUAAUCUUUCACCUUUCCCUUGUUCACAGGCAUGAAAGGUCAAGACCACUGACCAUUGAUAACCUGGAGAAGGAAGAUGGAGAAAAAUGGGGAAAUGAUCUCCACCAUCUAGCAAACUGGAGAUGCUGGUUAUCUGCCACAUUUUUGGGCAGAAUGUAGAUGCAGUCCUGCCCUCCAGUGCCCAAGACCAGGAGUUACCCAUCAAAAUACACUGGCCUAUGCAGAAUUUGCCCAGAGACAAGACAAUCCUACCUGAAGGGAUAGACAACCUCGGAUUGUUUUUCUGACUCUGCAAUACCAUGACACAAAUAACAGUCUUCUUUCGCAGGCAGCCAACGCACUUCACUUAAGCUAAAAUCUUACUUGAGAACUGCUUAUCAGAAAGGAGAAAACUUUGAUUCUCUAAGGAGUAGAUGAGUGCAUAUCAUAGCAAUGUUAUGACCAUUUAAUCGUUUUUCCAUAAGAAAAGAUUAAAAUGCCUUAGUUAUGCUAGAUUAAAUGCUCAUUCGAUAAUUGCAAUGGACAGUAUGCUUUCAGAGUAAGAGAAUUAAAUUAAAAAAAAGACAACUACAGAAAAUGUACUAGUGGUAGAAUUAGACAAUGUUUCAUCAGUCCCCGAUGUCUCUACAGUAAUGAACCUGUCAAAAGAUAAUAAUAUUUUAGUGAAAGGUGUGAUUGGAUAAGUCACAUUAUUUAUUAACUGUUACCCUAAAAUAUCACUUUUGUCUUAUUAUUAAAGAAUGGUUAGAGGGCAGCAGGGAUGCCUGACAUAAAGCAUUAAAAUAUGGAUUACGGCUAUAACAGGCCAUGGAGUGUAUAUGCUUUGCUGUAAACUCUGUAGCAUAACUUGCUAAUACCCAGUGACUAGCAGCAUUCAGGAAACCAUAAACCAGCAGAGACUUUAUGUAAGUUCCCUGGAUUGAUAUAGUAAUUCAGGAGAGUAUUUAGAUAGCUCCCUGGAGCUAUGUUUGUCAAAACAUUCAAACCAUUUUGUCUACAUUCUUAGUAUCUAAACUUGUUUUUCAAAGCAUUUCAUGUAAAUACUUUAGUUUUUUAUGAUGGUUGUAAUGGUAGUAGGCAGGGGUGUGCUAUGGAAAAGGGAACUAUAUAGCAGCAAAUGCCAGCAAAAUAUUGGUUAAAGAUCACAGAAAGGUCUCUGGUGCAUACUUUUUAUUGUGAGCCUCAACAAGAUGUAUUGGGCUUAGGUGGCAUGGUUUGGGUAGCAGGGGUACUGCACGGGUGGCCUUUGUGAG